rnacentral:tRNA from 1 species
GGAGAGUUGGCAGAGUGGUCGAAUGCGGCGGUCUUGAAAACCGUUGUACCGCAAGGUACCGGGGGUUCGAAUCCCUCACUCUCCG